GAGGGUAUAGCUCUGCGGUAGACCACUUGCUUAGCAUGCAUGAGGUCCUGGGUUCAAUCCCUAGUACCUCUG
rnacentral:tRNA from 1 species